UACGAAGGGACCUAGCGUAGUUCGGAAUUACUGGGCUUAAAGAGCUCGUAGGUGGUUAAAAAAGUUGGUGGUGAAAUCCCAAGGCUUAACCUUGGAACUGCCACCAAAACUUUUUGACUAGAGUAUGAUAGAGGUAAGUGGAAUUUCUAGUGUAGAGGUGAAAUUCGUAGAUAUUAGAAAGAACACCAAUUGCGAAGGCAACUUUCUGGAUCAUUACUGACACUGAGGAGCGAAAGCAUGGGUAGCGAAGAGG
rnacentral:rRNA from 1 species